rnacentral:miRNA from 1 species
ACACACACACAUUCGUUCGCACACACACACACACACACACACAUAUGAAUAUGUGUGUGUGUGUGUGUGUCACUGCAACGCUGACGAAAUCAAUA